rnacentral:lncRNA from 1 species
GCAGGGGAGAGAUUGAUGUUGUUGGGCAGGGAGGAGGCAGGGGAGAGGUUGAUGUUGUUGGGCAGGGAGGAGGCAGGGAGAAGGUUGAUGUUGUUGGGGGGACGCAGAGGAGAGGUUAAUAUUGUUGGGCAGAGGGGGAGAGGUUUAUGUUGCCAAGUAGUAUUCCGCCAUCCUCUUAGUUCAAGCCAAGUAGAAUUCCGCCAUCCUCUUGGUUCAAGCCAAGUAGAAUUCCGCCAUCCUCUUGGUUCAAGCCAAGUAGAAUUCUGCCAUCCUCUUGGUCCAAGCCAAGUAGUAUUCCGCCAUCCUCUUGGUCCAAGCCAAGUAGUAUUCCGCCAUCUUCUGGGUCCAAGCCAAGUAGUAUUCCGCCAUCCUCUUGGUCCAAGCCAAGUAGUAUUCCGCCAUCUUCUGGGUCCAAGCCAAGUAGUAUUCCGCCAUCCUCUUGGUCCAAGCCAAGUAGUAUUCCGCCAUCCUCUGGGUCUAAGCUAAGUAAUAUUCCUGUUGCCAUUAGACCAAAGUAACACAUUAACAUCUUCUCCAGAAAUACUAGAAACAGCUAAUAAAUAAUAAUAAACCAAGAUCUUGUAAAGCACGUGUCAAACUCAUUCGAAGGAGGGCCGAGUGUCUGCAGGUUUUCCCUCCUCCCUUGUACUUGAAUGAUGAAUUAAGGUCACUAAUUAGUAAAGAACUCCCCUCUGUCUUAAUUGAAAGGAAAAAACAAAAACCCACAGACACUAGGCAUUCCAUGGAAUGAGUUUGACACCCUUGUUGUAAAGGUCAAAAACAUGGCUGCCGGGAGCCAAUUAACUUGUUUGAGUGACUUUGUCACAGUGCCGACAGGUGGCCAAACGGAACCAUAUUCUACAGGUCAGCUACUAUGACCCUUGGCCUGCGUGCUACAUUUCAGGACGGAACGGAUCAAGAGGUCAGUUGCGACUGGUGACUGUUGAUAUGGCCAGAUAUUAAACAAGGUAAGGGAUGUACUGAGCACAGCACGCCAGUACAGCAUGCCACCAGAAUGCCUUGAUCAAUUGAUUGGCAGGAGUGUACAACCAUAGAUGGAGUCUUAAUGCUUACUCUCUAAGGAACAGAACCAGUCAUUAUGUUAGGUGUGGAUGGGGUCUUACUCUCUAAGGAACAGAACCAGUCAUUAUGUUAGGUGUGGAUGGGGUCUUACUCUCUAAGGAACAGAACCAGUCAUUAUGUUAGGUGUGGAUGGGGUCUUACUCUCUAAGGAACAGAACCAGUCAUUAUGUUAGGUGUGGAUGGGGUCUUACUCUCUGAGGAACAGAACCAGUCAUUAUGUUAGGUGUGGAUGGGGUCUUACUCUCUAAGGAACAGAACCAGUCAUUAUGUUAGGUGUGGAUGGGGUCUUACUCUCUAAGGAACAAAACCAGUCACACAAGCUAUUUUUACUGGUACAGCAGCUCUACACAGCACAAGUCUUAAAAUCGUUCAAACAAUAACAUACAAAAACUAAUAAUACAAAACUAACUUUUAAAAAGAGAGCGCGAGAUGGUGAUUAAGGAUAGUGUUGAAAAAGAAACGGUGACUGAGUAAUAAAUAUAAAAGUGACUUGAAAAAGAGACAGAACGAGAGGGAGUGAAAAAAGGUUGGACAAGAAAGACAAAGAGAGAAGGAGCGAGCGGAAGGAAGAGAGGAGCAUUGAAGUAUGUGUGUAUGAGAGAGAGAGAGAAGGAGAGAGAGAGAGAGACAGAGAGAGAGCACACGAAAGGUGCAUGAAUGAUGGUCCCUGCUCAGACAGUUAGUUGGGGACCUUGCUGAAUGCUCUCUGUGCCCUGGAAAUUCAUGCCCGCUCUGUGCUCUCAUCCUCCAGAGGACGUCGUUACACUGUACUCUGUCUCUACCAGGACGGCCAGGGAAGAUAAAUCAGGGCUCCGCAGAGGUUUGUGGAGAGAGCGGUGGAUGUUCAGAGAACCUGUUACUACUUCCUUAGCCCAGGAAGGUUAGUUAUCCCUGGGGAAGAGCUCAGCAGUUAAGCCGGGCAAGC